CAGGAGGCUUUUUUAUGGAGCCAACCAAAUUGACGUGAAAGUGCCUUCCAUCCCCAAACUCCUCGUCAAGGAAGUGCUGAACCCCUUCUACAUUUUCCAAGCCUUCAGCAUGGUGCUGUGGUCCCUCGACGAUUACUACUUGUACGCCUCGGCCAUCCUCUUCAUGUCUCUCGUGUCCAUUAGCUGCUCCCUCUACACCCUCCGUAAGCAAUACGUCCUCCUGCACGACAUGGUUGCGACGCACAACAUCAUCCGCGUGACGGUGUAUCGGGGGCCCCAUG